rnacentral:rRNA from 1 species
UUGGAGGGCAAGUCUGGUGCCAGCAGCCGCGGUAAUUCCAGCUCCAAUAGCGUAUAUUAAAGUUGUUGCAGUUAAAAAGCUCGUAGUUGAAUUUCGGGAUCGACGGGUCGGUCGCGCCUCUGGUGUGUACUGGCCCUGUCGGUUUCUCCCUUCUGACGAACUACGAUGUCAUUAAUUUGGUGUCGUGGGGAAUCAGGACUGUUACUUUGAAAAAAUUAGAGUGUUUAAAGCAAGCAUUCGCUUGAAUAUAUUAGCAUGGAAUAAUGAAAUAGGACGUUUGAUCUUAUUUUGUUGGUUUCUAAGAUCGACGUAAUGAUUAAUAGGGAUAGUUGGGGGCAUUAGUAUUCAAUUGUCAGAGGUGAAAUUCUUGGAUUUAUUGAAGACUAACUACUGCGAAAGCAUUUGCCCAGGGAUGUUUUUCAUUUAAUCAAGAACGAAAGUUAGGGGAUCGAAGACGAUCAGAUACCGUCGUAGUCUUAACCAUAAACUAUGCCGACUAGGAAUCGGAUGAUGUUAAUUUUUUAAUGACUCAUUCGGCGCCUUACGGGAAAC